GGGCGCCAGGGCCGCUCCGGGGCAGCGGGGAUGCUAAAGGACUUGUAGUAACUCAAGAACUGAAAGAUAUUUUUAAGGCAAAGAUAACUCCUCCAACACUCAAAGGCAGCAAAGAUCACAGACAAGGUAGAAACAGCAUGUACACCACAGAGUCAAAAAAUGAACAUUUGGAGGAUAAAAAUGUCGAAUCAUCUACAACUCCUCAGAUCCUCAAAGAUAGUAAUGCUAGUGAACAUGAAGAAACUAAGGAAACUGUCUUUCCAAAAACAGAGGAAACAAAACCACAGAUG